ACUCAAAGGAAUAGACGGGGGCCCGCACAAGCGGCGGAGCAUGCGGAUUAAUUCGAUGCAACGCGAAGAACCUUACCAAGGCUUGACAUACACCGGAAACGUCCAGAGAUGGGCGCCCCGCAAGGUCGGUGUACAGGUGGUGCAUGGUUGUCGUCAGCUCGUGUCGUGAGAUGUUGGGUUAAGUCCCGCAACGAGCGCAACCCUUGUCCUGUGUUGCCAGCGGGUUAUGCCGGGGACUCAUGGGAGACUGCCGGGGUCAACUCGGAGGAAGGUGGGGACGACGUCAAAUCAUCAUGCCCCUUAUGUCUUGGGCUUCACGCAUGCUACAAUGGCCGGUACAAAGGGCUGCGAUGCCGUAAGGUGGAGCGAAUCCCAAAAAGCCGGUCUCAGUUCGGAUUGGGGUCUGCAACUCGACCCCAUGAAGUCGGAGUCGCUAGUAAUCGCAGAUCAGCAACGCUGCGGUGAAUACGUUCUCGGGCCUUGCACACACCGCCCGU
rnacentral:rRNA from 1 species